CCUUGUACACACCGCCCGUCACACCAUGGGAGUUGGUUGCACCAGAAGCAGGUGGCUUAACCGAAAGGGGGCGCCUACCACGGUGUGGUCAAUGACUGGGGUG
rnacentral:rRNA from 1 species